UACGUAGGUGGCAAGCGUUGUCCGGAAUUAUUGGGCGUAAAGCGCGCGCAGGUGGUUUCUUAAGUCUGAUGUGAAAGCCCACGGCUCAACCGUGGAGGGUCAUUGGAAACUGGGGAACUUGAGUGCAGGAGAGAAGAGUGGAAUUCCACGUGUAGCGGUGAAAUGCGUAGAUAAUCGGGAGGAACACCAGUGGCGAAGCGACACGCUGGGCCGUACC
rnacentral:rRNA from 1 species